rnacentral:lncRNA from 1 species
GCCGUCCGCUACAAAACUACAUCACGUACCAACCGUACACGUGUCCCACGUCUUCAUUAACUCCCUGGAUUAACCGAGGCAUCGCCUCGGUUACGAAAUCCAUCAUUACUCGCAUUAAUGACGAGAAGACGGCUAGGCUUAGGAGGCAAGCCUCCAGACGCUAACCCUCUCAGAGUUAGCCACGUGUCAACCGUCAUCAUUCUUUGGCUUCCAAGGGAAGUCACCACCUGACAAGUAAACCCCCCAACCAUGGCAAGUCUCCGCUGAGCGAAAACCCCGCCAGCGGAUCCUCACUUGUCAUCUCCCAAAUGACGGAGUCUCCGCUGAGCGAAACCCCGCCAGCGGAUCCUCACUUGUCAUCUUCCAAGUGACGGAGUCUCCGCUGAGCGAAACCCCGCCAGCGGAUCCUCACUUGUCAUCUCCCUAGUGACGGAGCCUCCGCUGAGCGAAACCCCGCCAGCGGAUCCUCACUUACAUCUCCCAAGUGACGGAGUCUCCGCUGAGCGAAACCCCGCCAGCGGAUCCUCACUUGUCAUCUUCCAAGUGACGGAGUCUCCGCUGAGCGAAACCCCGCCAGCGGAUCCUCACUUGCAUCUUCCAAGUGACGGAGUCUCCGCUGAGCGAAACCCCGCCAGAGGAUCCUCACUUGCAUCUUCCAAGUGACGGAGUCUCCGCUGAGCGAAACCCCGCCAGCGGAUCCUCACUUGUCAUCUCCCUAGUGACGGAACCUCCGCUGAGCGAAACCCCGCCAGCGGAUCCUCACUUACAUCUCCCAAGUGACGGAGUCUCCGCUGAGCGAAACCCCGCCAGCGGAUCCUCACUUGUCAUCUUCCAAGUGACGGAGUCUCCGCUGAGCGAAACCCCGCCAGCGGAUCCUCACUUGCAUCUUCCAAGUGACGGAGUCUCCGCUGAGCGAAACCCCGCCAGAGGAUCCUCACUUGCAUCUUCCAAGUGACGGAGUCUCCGCUGAGCGAAACCCCGCCAGCGGAUCCUCACUUGUCAUCUCCCUAGUGACGGAACCUCCGCUGAGCGAAACCCCGCCAGCGGAUCCUCACUUACAUCUCCCAAGUGACGGAGUCUUCGCUGAGCGAAACCCCGCCAGCGGAUCCUCACUUGUCAUCUUCCAAGUGACGGAGUCUCCGCUGAGCGAAACCCCGCCAGCGGAUCCUCACUUGCAUCUCCCAAGUGACGGAGUCUCCGCUGAGCGAAACCCCGCCGGCGGAGCUUCUCUCCUCAUUUGGUAAACGGGGCGUCCUCCGCUACACAGCGCACCGCUGGCUGACCCCAUUUCUCAUCUGACAAGCUGCGUACUUUAUUCAGCGCAACACCGCUCAAUAAAAUACCAGGCACGUCUACUUGACGCUGCUUCCUGCUACAUCUAGCGGGGGGACUUCCGCCAGCGGCGGAUCCCGAGGCCACGCCUCUCUGACAACGCCGCCACGCGGAGUUACGGUCAGAAUGUCCCUACGGGACACGGGGACUAGUCAACAGUCUACGACAGCCCUGAUCAGGUACGUUGACCCCCG